rnacentral:rRNA from 1 species
GACGAACGCUGGCGGCGUGCCUAAUACAUGCAAGUCGAACGCGUCUACGUUAAUGAAAUCAAUGUGCUUGCACGGCGAUGGAUUUAACAUUAGACGAGUGGCGAACUGGUGAGUAACACGUGGGUAACCUGCCCUCAAGCAGGGGAUAACACUUGGAAACAGGUGCUAAUACCGUAUAACAACAAAAACCGCAUGGUUUCGGUUUGAAAGGCGCUUUUGCGUCACUGAUGGAUGGACCCGCGGUGCAUUAGCUAGUUGGUGAGGUAACGGCUCACCAAGGCAACGAUGCAUAGCCGACCUGAGAGGGUGAUCGGCCACAUUGGGACUGAGACACGGCCCAAACUCCUACGGGAGGCAGCAGUAGGGAAUCUUCCACAAUGGACGAAAGUCUGACCGAGCAACGCCGCGUGAGUGAAGAAGGGUUUCGGCUCGUAAAACUCUGUUGUUAAAGAAGAACAGGUGUAAGAGUAACUGUUUACACCGUGACGGUAUUUAACCAGAAAGCCACGGCUAACUACGUGCCAGCCGCCGCCGUAAAAC